GCCCUCUCAGACUGACUUAAAAGUCCCGACCGAGCGCCUCCUGCCUCUAUAUACUGAGCGGGGGGGUUGUUACACGGGGGAGGCAAGAACCGCCGAAUGGGCCCAGAGCCCGAGUGGGUCGGCCCCGCAUACUAAAAAAAGGGAGAAACGGACAACGGAAAUUUCUCUCAGCUCGCGGAGUCUCCUCCCUUCCUUCCGCCCUCUCCCUCCGAGCGUUUCCACCACAAACGAAACAGCUGAAGAAGAAGGAAGAAACAAAAAAGUCCCUCAACCGCAAACCUAAUUUGUUUCCCGGCCUUUGGGGCGCAUGCGCGGCCAACAGUCUGGCGAAGGAGGAAAGAUGAUGGCGACGAGUGCCUAUUUACAGUUUUAUUUUACUUACCUCAGCUGACGAAGCCAAAGCUCUCCUUGACUGCAGGAAUUCAAGCGGCGCCUCUCCGCGGCCUCCCACCUCCACCCUUCAAUGGACUGGCUGGUUCCACAUAACGUUUGGCGGUGUUUUUUUCCAUGGGUUUUAGUCUUUUCUUCGCUUGUUCGUGUAUUAAAUAGUGAGCUCUUAUUGCUGCUCCGUCCGUAAUUGGAGCGUGAUUAAUACAGCGCCCCCAGCUUAGGCGAGGAGGUAUUCAUUUUCCAGGCCAAGUUCUUAGGGUGACCAUCUUGUGCCCUGUGUGAUAGAGGACAGUCCACCCUUUGAAGGGCUGUCAGCUCCGAAGGCCUGUUUAAAGAUAAAAACCAUAAUAAGAGGACAGAGCAGGUGGGCUUUGAAGCUGCUCCUCCACAGUGAGCGCUUGGACAGCAGCCUGAGCAGGUAACCUGGUCGCACUUUUCCCCGCUAUGCUACCUUUACUUUUUCUGUGACUCGGAGAGUACUGAAUUUAGCCCUUGAGCAGCAGGAUCACAAACUGGAGGAAGAGGAUGUUAUACCAUCUGAAGAUGGGACAUCAUUCUCUGAAGGAACAUUCCCGCCAUCUGCUCGGAACUAUGGGAUGAACUGUCUGUGAUAGAUUUUGGUCUGGGUAUCCUGGUUGCUGCAGGACAAAAUGCAGAGGGCUGGAAGGAGAUUAAAGGGUGCUUGCACAGGAAAAAUUGUGCGUGGGGAAGGAGAUUCUUAACCCUUCCCCUGCCUGCUACUUUCCUAUUGCAUCCCUUUCAGUUGCUUUCCUCACCAUGGAGGUUCCCUAUGCUUGCCACAUUGCAGGGGAAGUGGCCAGGAGAGGGAGUUGCAGGUGGAAAGCAGAGGCUGGGGGAAGUGUUAAGCUCCCCCUUCCCUCAUUGUUACAUCUCCCCUACAAAUGGCACCCUCUCCCCACAGCUUUGCAGCUGCUUGAUAGUGACCAGUCAACCCUCAGCAACGGCUGGGACAGAAAGACUCUCCUUUCAUGAAGGGACCCUAAUUGCACUGGCUGUGCAAGCAAUCCAUUAAAAAAAGUCUUCAUCUCCUUCUCCCAACAUGCCUCUGCCUUCCAAAGAAAAUGUUUAUUUGUGUUUUGGGAAGCAAAACAAAGAACAGUAGGGCUAGUAGGCUGGCCCUACCAUUAGGCAGAGUAAGACAUCCGCCUACGACAGCAAUUACUAACGGGAGAAGAGUGGUGGACAGAGCUCUGGGUAUGUGCACCACAUACAGCCUCCCCUGCAACCCCUCACCUAGCUUGUUGCCCUCAGGUACAACGGAGGAUGUCUCAUCACCAGUGUUGAAAAUAAAUCUCAACUACCAGUCCAGUCAGAUUCUAAUGGAAUCUCAUCCUUUGCCUCAGUCAGCAAAAUGUCUUGGGCCAACUCUACAAUCCACACUAGUAUCACCUUAUCUGCUCCUCCAGGAGGAGGAAGACAAUACCAAUCUUACAAUGCCUACAAUAAAUACAGAAGAUGUGCUUUCCUGAAUAAUCCCUGGAGAAACACCUAAUAAUAAUUGGCAGUAUUCAAGAAAACACAGCAAGUACUGAGGCUGGGCUAAGCUACAUGCCUGAAGAUUCUGAAAAGACAUCAGCUGCUCUCUUCUUGCUAAGAUGACUUUACCAGUUUGAACAGGAAACAUGAAACCAAGAGCCAGUGUGUCAUAAGAAGAAAAACAGGUUCUCCACUGGACUAGUGACUAAGGCAGCCAGGACAUACUUGUAACUGAUCCAUCAAGGAGCAUUUUCCUGAGCUGCAUCAGUGAGUUCAGCGUAAGAACACCAACAGCUGGAUUUAUUGGCCACUUAUAAUUAUAUCAAUCUGGUUUCGUGUGAUCACCAUGCAUACAUCUGAAUAUAUUCUUGAUACAGGCAUACAAAUGUCACAUUUUCUAUUAGUUGUGAAAUUACCUUAACAGUUUUGAUCCCCCCCCAACCUAGAGUGAAUGAAUCGCAAAUGCUUUCUAUAAUAACAAAUAAUGUUUGCAUUCUGCAAGCAUAAGUGAUCAUUCCUGGAAGAAUCUCCUCUCCCAAAUUCAAGUCUUAUUCAGACAUGUGAGGAAGCAAAAGAACUUCCACAGCCCUACAAAACAUUGCCCUGUUGGCUACCUUCAGGAUCAGAGGCAGCCUCUGAAGAGGCUGAGGUUGAAGAAUAGUAUGCCUACAUCUUCUGCUUCUGUGCUUCCCAUAGGGAUCUGUGGAUGUUGAACUAGUUCCGUAUGCAAUGACUUCCUGUGCAAACAGAGUCUACUGCGGCGGCUGCUCUGAUUCAUUCAGCAAUUUCACAAGCCUGUGUGUGUGUGACAGCGUGUGGGUGUGACAGAGAGAGAGACCUUCCUGUUUCCAAUCCUCCCUUGGGAACCAGCUGAUUAAAGAGAAGAGUUACUGAUUGUGUUCCUACUCAGCUGUCUCCCAGGAACAAGAAAGACAAUGUAGGAGGGUCUGAGCAUAAUAUUGCCAUUGUUACAAUAUUGCCAAUAUUGCCCAACUGUAGUAGUGGCUUCUUGGGUUAUAAAUGGUUGCAAGUUUCCUUUAUAUUCUCUAUAAUGGCGUAAAUGAACUUGAGAGAUUAAAGGCCUGAACACGGUUGCAUCAGCAAGGAAGAAUGCACAGUGGGGCUUUAACCACUGUGCCGGUUGAAAUGUCACAACCUGUGAUGCUGUGAGCCUACCAAGAUCAUCACAUAAGAGCUACAGGAUGGGGAUGGAAUGGUAGACAUCAUCAAUAAUGGCUGGUGCUGCAGUAGUAAUAGCUACAUGCUAGUUCAGGGUUGCAGGAGCCCAGAAUGAUAGUCCUGGGUGAUUUCAAUGUCCAUGCUGAGGCUGCCUCUAGUGUUCCAGCUCGGGAUGUCAUGGCCUCCGUGACAACCAUGGAACUAUCUCAAGUUGUCACUGGGCUGACAUUUAGGGCAGGGCACACCCUCGAUUUCAUUUUUGCUCCAGAUGGAGGAAAGGGUGGUCAGGAGAUGGGGUGUGUGUGAAUGUCAUCCCAUUGUCAUGGUCAGACCACUUGUUUGUUUAUUUAUUUAUUAAAUUUAUAUCCUGCCCUUCUUCCCAGAAGAAGCCCAGGGCAUCAUAUUUAAAAGCCAGUAGUUGAAACUCAGUUCCUGGCAACGGCUGUUUUCAUUAUUUCAAAAUUUGGUGUACAUAGUGGUAAACUGCUUUCAAACUUGUAUGUAUGUCAAGAUUCUGUGAUUCCAUAACAUGUCAACUUCUGAAUUAGAGAUUUGUAUAAACUUUUUGCAUUUUGCAUUGCUUAAAUGGCUUUCUGCUAUACAUGGUGGUGACUUCCACACAUCCUAGUGUAACAUAGGAAGCACUUUCAGAACAUGGGUGGCAAAUUAGCUGCCUCUAAACUUUAAAAAUCAAAAUUCCCUGUUACAGGUGAAGAUCAUCUCAAGACAAAAAUGAGCAUUAGAAUUUUAAGAUAGGAUUACAAAAUGAUACAGGAUACAGUGAACACAGAAAUGAAGGAAAACAAUAAGCUGGCCCUAUCUGGCACAGCAAGACUUCUAUUCAGUACUAAGUCCCUCCUAAAGCAUAGAGUGCUAAGAGGAGCUUCUGUCCAGCUGCUUCUGGACUCAUCCACAUGGCGAUUUAGUGUGCGUCCGAUGCUACUUCCAUCCUCUUGUAAUUCGCAUGGUUUACAUGAUGUUGCAGGCAAGGAGAAGCUAUCAGAGUUUCCCCCUUUAAAUAUAUAUUAACUCAAUCCACCGAUAAUGCGAAAAGGAAAGGAAAAACUGUCUCAGCUGCACUGCGCUUCUCCGUGUAGGCGGUUUGCUUCAAUUUUUUUUAGUGGGCAGGCUCUUUUAUGCCCCAUCGCCUGCUCUCUCUCUCUGUUGCCUGCAAAAGCUGCUGCAGCCGCUGCCUACUUUGCCUUUCACUCACUCCCCCAUGUAGUUAGUUUCAUAUAGUUUCAUGUCAGUUGCACCCCCACACUCUCUAGGCAGAGGCAUGUAAUUGACAAGAAACAAUGAAACUGACAAAAAAACCCUCCCCAUCUCCAUUAGCAAUAUGGAUAUUCCGGAGGGAGUAAACAUGUAAACUUGGGGGUGUGGCCACAAGGAAACAGUGACACUAAACCUUUCCAGAGGAACGCCUACAUGUGUGAAUAGAAAACAGCACAUUGGAAGCUACCAUUGAACAAGAAAUUUGGACCUUGAAAAGCUAUUGCGAUGGUAAAAGCAGCUUCUUUAGUAUGAAAUUAAGCUCCCGUGUGGAUAAGCCCUCUCUCUCUCUUGGAAAUAUUUUCUCUGUUCUUUUAUGACCUCUAGCAACUGAAGGUUUAUUCCUUCCACACAUGUAAACACAAAAGCCUUUAGCACCAUCUCCUUAUGUGCCAAAUAUUCUUAGGCUCUCCCCUUCUGGGACCAAUGUAGAAUUCAUUUCCCAAGGAAAUGCCCCAUCAUCUGGUAGCAUUGUGUGCAACUGCUCUUGAUAGCAGAUCCAUGACCAACCAAUGCGUCCUUCAUUCUAUGAGCCCUGUCCACAAGCGAGAGGAGUUAAAGGCUGUUAUGAAAAUAUAUAUGCAGAGGUGCUCAGCUGUCUGAGCUGUGUGUGUGCCAGUGUGUGUAUUUACCUAAGAAGCAGGCUUUUGCCCUGCAUUUAGAUCACUGAGACUUAAGACUAAGUAAAAUAAGAAAAGCUACUUUAUUUAUAGAAAUACAUAGUAGAUAUGAAAGGCAUACCUAGUUCUAACUAACUAAGUAAGUUGGAGGUGCAUCAAAUCCAAAGGUGUAUCACUGAACACUAAAGUCAGGAUCAUUCAGACCAUGGUAUUCCCGAUCUCUAUGUAUGGAUGUGAAAGUUGGACAGCGAAAAAAAUGGAUAAAAGAAAAAUAAUUUGAAAUGUGGUGUUGAAGGAGAGCUUUGUGCAUACCAUGGACUGUGAAAAAGACAAAUAACUGGGUGUUAGAACAAAUUAAACCAGAAUUGUCACCAGAAGCUAAAAUGACGAAACUGAGGUUAUUGUACUUUGGACACAUCAUGAGAAGACAGGAUUCAUUAGAAAAGACAAUAAUGCUGGGAAAAACAGGAGUAGAAAAAGAAGAAGAACAAACAAGAGAUGGAUUGAUUCCAUAAAGGAAGCCGCAGACCUGAACUUACAAGAUCUGACAAAUGGUGGUUCAUGACAGAUGCUAUUGGAGGUCACUGAGUCAUAGGGUCAUCAUAAGUCAUAAUCGACUUGAAGGCACAUAACAACAACAACAACAAAGUUGGAGGCACAAUGCCCAGACUUGGGUAUUGCCCUUAUGGCUCAGAAGAGAGAGCAAAGACAAAUAUGUUUCCUCUCUCCUCCAACAGUCGAAGAAGAAGUCGAAGGAGGGGCAGGUCAGUUUCCCCGAGCAUAUCAGUUUACAACAGAAGGAAGUUAGGUAGAGAACAGCACAGGUAAAGGUAGGCAAGCCUAGCCAGUUGGAGGACCUUAAGGCUAUCUUCCUUCUGGAAUACACACAAAAGAACGCAAACAUGAGUUGCUCUUGCUCCACUUCCAACAAAGGUGUGGCCCUGCCCUUAAUGUUACGUGGCUGGGAAUGGGCUUCCGACUGGGCUGUUGAGGGUGAAAAUCUGCCUGUGCCACAUGCUGGAGAGCGGGCAGGGCAUGGGGAUUGCUUCCUAAAGAAGUUUAGAUUUACAGCUCCAAUCCUCUCCUCUAUAUGAAGUCUUUGGGAGCAGUCAUCAAGAGAUUUGGGGCAAGGUGUCAGCAGUACACUGAUGAUACCCAGCUCUAUUUUUCUGUAACAUCUGAAUUGGGAGAAGCCAUGCAAACCCUGGACUGGUGCCUGGUGGUGUGCUGGAUGAGGACCAAUAAACUGAAUCUGAAUCCCGCAAGACAGAGGUGCUGUGGGUUGGUGUUUCCCGAGUUCGGAUAAUUGGUCAAUUGUCUGCUUUGGAUGGGGUCAUACUCCCUCUGAAAGAGCAGGUCCAUAGUCUGGGGGUGCUUCUGGAUUCAUCUUUGUUGCUAGAGGCCUAGGUGACCUCAGUGGCUAGAAGUGCCUUUUGCCAGCUUCAGCUGAUAAGACAGCUGCGGCCAUUUCUUGACUGAGAUAGCCUGCCCACUGUUGUCCAUGCACUCGUAACCUCCUGGCUGGAUUAUUGUAAUGCGCUCUGUGUGGGGCUGCCCUUGAGGCUGGUCUGGAAGCUGCAGCUGGUACAAAAUGCGGCAGUGUGACUGCUCACUGUGGCGGGGUAUCGCCAAUCUGUUACCCCGCUGCUGAAAGAAUUGCACUGGCUGCCUAUUAGCUACCGGGCUAAGUUCAAGGUUCUGGUUUUCGUGUACAAAGCCCUAUACAUCUUGGGACCAGGAUACCUGCAUGAUCAUCUUACUCCUUAUAUACCCAGUUGAUCACUGCACUCUGCAGGUGAAGGGCCUCCUACAAAUACCAUCUUAUCAGGAGGUCCGUUCCACACAACACUGGAAGUGGACCUUUAGUGUUGUGGCACUGAAACUCUGGAAUUCCCUCCCCUUAAAUAUUAAAUAUUAGACAGGCACAAUCUCUGUUAUCUUUUGGGUAUCUACUGAAAACCUUCCUCUUUCAACAAGCCUUUUAAGUAGAAACCUUAUCCCAGUCUGCAUCUGUUGUGGAAUUGCUUUUUAAGAUGUUUUUAAAGUUUGUUUUCAAGAUGUUUUGUU